GGCCGACUAGCUCAGUUGGUUAGAGCGUGGUGCUAAUAUGACAGCCUUGUAUUGUACGGAAGGUGUCACGCCAAGGUCGUCGGUUCGACCCCGGCGUUGGCCA